rnacentral:rRNA from 1 species
GACGAACGCUGGCGGCGUGCUUAACACAUGCAAGUCGAACGGAAAGGCCCUGCUUUUGUGGGGUGCUCGAGUGGCGAACGGGUGAGUAACACGUGAGUAACCUGCCCUUGACUUUGGGAUAACUUCAGGAAACUGGGGCUAAUACCGGAUAGGAGCUCCUGCUGCAUGGUGGGGGUUGGAAAGUUUCGGCGGUUGGGGAUGGACUCGCGGCUUAUCAGCUUGUUGGUGGGGUAGUGGCUUACCAAGGCUUUGACGGGUAGCCGGCCUGAGAGGGGGACCGGCCACAUUGGGACUGAGAUACGGCCCAGACUGCUACGGGAGGCAGCAGUGGGGAAUAUUGCACAAUGGGCGGAAGCCUGAUGCAGCAACGCCGCGUGCGGGAUGACGGCCUUCGGGUUGUAAACCGCUUUCGCCUGUGACGAAGCGUGAGUGACGGUAAUGGGUAAAGAAGCACCGGCUAACUACGUG